GUGUUCACUUCAGCAGCACAUACACUAAAAAUUGGAACAAUACAGAGACUAGCAUGGGCCCCGUGCAAGGAUGACACACAAAUUCAUGAAGAGUUCCACAUUAAA
ensembl:snRNA U6 U6 spliceosomal RNA